rnacentral:rRNA from 1 species
UACGUAGGGGGGCUAGCGUUGUCCGGAAUCAUUGGGCGUAAAGCGCGUGUAGGCGGUCCGGUAAGUCCGCUGUGAAAGUCGAGGGCUCAACCCUCGAAUGCCGGUGGAUACUGUCGGGCUUGAGUACGGGAGAGGCGAGUGGAAUUCCUGGUGUAGCGGUGAAAUGCGCAGAUAUCAGGAGGAACACCGAUUGCGAAGGCAGCUCGCUGGAACGUUACUGACGCUGAGACGCGAAAGCGUGGGAGGCAAACAGG